rnacentral:rRNA from 1 species
GUGCCAGCCGCCGCGGUAAAACGUAGGAGGCGAACGUUAUCCGGAUUUACUGGGCGUAAAGAGCGCGAAGGCGGUCUUGUAAGUCGGAUGUGAAAUCUCCCGGCUCAACUGGGAGGCGUCAUUCGAUACUGCAAGGCUUGAGGGCAGGAGAGGGGAGUGGAAUUCCCGGUGUAGUGGUGAAAUGCGUAGAUAUCGGGAGGAACACCAGUGGCGAAGGCGGCUCCCUGGCCUGUACCUGACGCUAAGAUGCGAAAGCGUGGGGAGCGAACGGGAUUAGAAACCCCGGUAGUCCACGCCGUAAACGAUGCGGACUAGGUGUGGGAGGUAUUGACCCCUUCCGUGCCGUAGCUAACGCGUUAAGUCCGCCGCCUGGGGACUACGGCCGCAAGGCUAAAACUCAAAUGAAUUGACGGGG